ACGCUGGCGGCAGGCCUAACACAUGCAAGUCGAGCGGUAGAGAGAAGCUUGCUUCUCUUGAGAGCGGCGGACGGGUGAGUAAUGCCUAGGAAUCUGCCUGGUAGUGGGGGAUAACGUUCGGAAACGGACGCUAAUACCGCAUACGUCCUACGGGAGAAAGCAGGGGACCUUCGGGCCUUGCGCUAUCAGAUGAGCCUAGGUCGGAUUAGCUAGUUGGUGAGGUAAUGGCUCACCAAGGCGACGAUCCGUAACUGGUCUGAGAGGAUGAUCAGUCACACUGGAACUGAGACACGGUCCAGACUCCUACGGGAGGCAGCAGUGGGGAAUAUUGGACAAUGGGCGAAAGCCUGAUCCAGCCCAUGCCGCGUGUGUGAAGAAGGUCUUCGGAUUGUAAAGCACUUUAAGUUGGGAGGAAGGGCAGUUACCUAAUACGUGAUUGUUUUGACGUUACCGACAGAAUAAGCACCGGCUAACUCUGUGCCAGCAGCCGCGGUAAUACAGAGGGUGCAAGCGUUAAUCGGAAUUACUGGGCGUAAAGCGCGCGUAGGUGGUUUGUUAAGUUGGAUGUGAAAUCCCCGGGCUCAACCUGGGAACUGCAUUCAAAACUGACUGACUAGAGUAUGGUAGAGGGUGGUGGAAUUUCCUGUGUAGCGGUGAAAUGCGUAGAUAUAGGAAGGAACACCAGUGGCGAAGGCGACCACCUGGACUGAUACUGACACUGAGGUGCGAAAGCGUGGGGAGCAAAC
rnacentral:rRNA from 1 species